GCCGGUGUGAUGGAAUAGGCAGACGUGCCGCACUCAAAAUGCGGUGGGAGUGUUCCCGUGCCGGUUCGAGUCCGGCCACCGGCACCA
rnacentral:tRNA from 1 species